GAUGAAGAACGUAGCGAAAUGCGAUAAGUAAUGUGAAUUGCAGAAUUCAGUGAAUUAUCGAAUCUUUGAACGCACAUUGCGCCCCCUGGUAUUCCGGGGGGCAUGCCUGUUCGAGCGUCAUUUCACCACUCAAGCCUCGCUUGGUAUUGGGCAACGCGGUCCGCCGCGUGCCUCAAAUCGACCGGCUGGGUCUUCUGUCCCCUAAGCGUUGUGGAAACUAUUCGCUAAAGGGUGUUCGGGAGGCUACGCCGUAAAACAACCCCAUUUCUAAGGUUGACCUCGGAUCAGGUAGGGAUACCCGCUGAACUUAAGCAUAUCAUAAGCGGAGGA
rnacentral:misc_RNA from 1 species